AUUGAACGCUGGCGGCAGGCUUAACACAUGCAAGUCGAUCGAGCGGCGGACGGGUGAGUAAUGUCUGGGAAACUGCCUGAUGGAGGGGGAUAACUACUGGAAACGGUAGCUAAUACCGCAUACCAUCAGAUGUGCCCAGAUGGGCUUAGCUAGGAGGUGGGGUAAUGGCUCACCUAGGCGACGAUCCCUAGCUGGUCUGAGAGGAUGACCAGCCACACUGGAACUGAGACACGGUCCAGACUCCGACGGGAGGCAGCAGUGGGGAAUAUUGACCAAUGGGAGAAAGCCUGAUGCAGCCAUGCCGCGGGUGUGAAGAAGGCCUUCGGGUUGUAAAGCACUUUCAGCGAGGAGGCGUUACUCGCAGAAGAAGCACCGGCUAACGCCGUGCCAGCAGCCGCGGUAAUAC
rnacentral:rRNA from 1 species